rfam:Eutrema salsugineum unplaced genomic scaffold scaffold_10, whole genome shotgun sequence.
AAGCCGUGGUGUGGGCAUUGGUUAGUGUAGCUUCUAAACCGUUCCCAAGCUUCACUAAAGCUCUCGUUAUUGUGCUGCGUGAAAAGAACUUUGAUAAGAACGCCAGUUU